rnacentral:lncRNA from 1 species
CAAUCAGGGCGCGGGGGCCCGGAACACCGUCCAAUCAGGCGCGGGGGCGGGCGCGCUUGCGGCCGCGUGGACGUGGCUCCGGGCAGGUCCCGGGGGUUCCUGCGCACCUGCCCGCGCGGACCCAGGUGUCCUCCUCUCACCUGCCCGGCCCUCGGGCCCGCGGGGAAGACGUCUUCCCCGGAGAGCUCGGAGCCGAGCCCCGACAUGGUGGAAUCCCGGGCCUCCCCGGGAAAGGCUUUCUGGGGAAAAGAGUGUCCGAGGAAUAGAGAACAUCUCCCUUCCCGAGGGCUGCGGAGGAACGAAUACCCUUCCGCAAAGCGUGGUAGGUCAGUUGGUAAAUUAGAAGGAUAAACCAGUCUGUGAGAUUGGUUGGCCAAUCUCGUUGAGUUGGCCGCGUGGAGCGUUUGUGACAGUACCGUUUCCUUUUAUUGCUGAUACACUUUGCUGUAAUGUGCAACAAAUUAGUGUCCAUGGAAGGGGUAGGAAUGCAAGCAUCUUUGUUAUUUAGAAGUCAGUCUGUCACUGUCUCAUGAAUUAAAGUGUUCAUCAUUUCUGCCUCCGCUCUUCAGGGGCUGUCCCGCCGUGAAUCGAGUUUCCCCGUAGGCCUGGACCCGUUUCCCAUUGAUCCGGCCGUCUUCCAUCAUGUCGGAGUGCUGUUGCCUUAAAAUCCCGAGUGUCGGCAGGCCCUGCCUUGUUAUUUAGAACACUUUGCCUGUCCUUGGACAUUUGUUCUUCUUGUUAGAUUUGCAGAAUUACUCUUUGUCUAGUCCCCCCAAAAAAAACACACUUGGGCUUGUGGGUUUAAUAGAAUAUUACGAAGACCGUAGGUCUGUCUUGGGAGGGAUCUUGUCUCUGUGUUUUCUUUCCAUUUAUUUCUUUUUGGGUAUUAACCCUUAAUGGUUUCAGAUUUUUCCAUUUGGCUCUUUCUAUAGCUUUCAUUUUACUUAUUUGAUACUACUGAAAUUUGGUUUUCACCAUGGUAUGUGUCAUCUUUUUUAAAU